rnacentral:rRNA from 1 species
GGGGGGCGGUAUCGUACUCAUCGAGCGCAAGCGCGUGUAAGCUUGCUCUCUUGGGGGCGAGUGGCGGACGGGUGAGUAGUAUAUCGGAACGUGCGCGGGAUCGGGGGAUAACUAAUCGAAAGAGUGGCUAAUACCGCAUACGCCCUACGGGGGAAAGGGGGGGAUCUCGCGACCUUGCACUAUUGGAUGGGCCAAUAUCGGAUUAGCUAGUUGGUGGGGUAAAGGCUCGACAAUGCGACGAUGGGUAGCUGGUUUGACAGGACGACCUGCCACUGUGGACACUGACACACGGCCUACAGUCCUACGGGAGGGGGAAUUGUGGAAUUUUGGACAUGGGGGAACCCCUGAUCCCGCCAUCCCGCGUGUAGGAUUAAGGUUUUCAGGUUGUAUUGUACUUUUGGCAGAAAAUACACCGAAUCCCCUAAUCCCGGAAACUGCUGACGGUAUCUGCAGAAUGCGCACCGGCUAACUACGUGCCCGCAGCCGCGGUAAUAGCUAGGGUGCAUGCGUUUUUCUGAAUUACUGGGCGGAACGCGCGUGUAUGCGGUACGGAUAUGAAGAUGUGAGAUCCCACGUCUCAACCUUGGAACUGCCUGUUUAUCUGCCGAGCUAGAGUAGGGGAUAGGGGUGUAGAAUGUCCCCGUGUAGCAGUGAAAUGUGUAGAUAUGUGGAGGAAUAGCAAUGCGCUAACGCCGCACCUCUGGGAUCACACUGACUCUCGAACACGAAAGCGUGGGGAGCAUACAAGAUUAGAUACCUCUGGGUACUCCACGCCAUUACAACCAGGUCGACUGGGCAGUUGGGUGCCCUCUAGUACCUUAGUAACCCAGCUGAAGCGUGCAGCUUGACCGACCUGGGGCAGUCACGGCUCGCAAAGAUUAAAAGCACCGACGGAAGUAACCGCGCACCCCGCUCGAAUCGGAUGGGACUAUGCUGCAUA